ensembl:miRNA mir20b microRNA 20b
CAAAGUGCUCACAGUGCAGGUAGUUUAAAUGAACCUACUGCAGUGUGUGCACUUCAAGU